ensembl:lncRNA
CAGAAAUGCUAUCAAAGAAGAUGGCACUAAUUUAUUUAAAAGAAAGGAAGAAAAAAGAAAGCAGAGGAAGAAAAUGGUUUCGGAUAUGCCUAUUAUGUCCUGCUGGACCAGGAAGAGACAUGAAAUCCUGGAAAGGUACACACCACACAAGCUGUCUCUACAACUAAUUACUACCUGGAAGCUGAUGUUUAUGAUCCCCACACAUUUUUUAUGCUUUUAUUAAAUCUUUUAAUGUUCAAAAUGUUUUUAAACAUUAACUCUGUAUUGUAUAUUUUAUAGAUUCUCCUGCAACAUUUUUUCUUUUUUUGCUUGAACUAUGAUUGUUAGAUUCAUUGUAC